UCAACUUUAAAUUUCAUCAAAACUCUCUUCCAUUCUCAUUUUUUAGAAAUUUCCCUCUCAAUUCUGUCAUUUUUUCUCUCAUUGAAUCUUUACUUUUUUUUUUUGUAUCAAUAACAAUUUCUACUUUCAAUUACAAGUAUGCUUUGCAAAUUAAUUCUUGAAUUUGUUCUUGAUUGAUCAAUUUGUAUGCAAGGUACUUUUUCUUUAGAAAAUUGAAGUGCAAGAUUGAUUUAAUUACCUUUGUCUACAAGACGUUCAUAUUGCAUGUUCUUGUUCGUAAUCAACAUAUUAAAUCUUUGAAGAUGAUUGUCUUAAUGCUUAGAUAAAUCACCCUUGUUUUUGGCAAAUUAUGAAUUUAAUUCCAUCAAUUUUACAUGCACAAUUACAUUCAAUUAAAUCAUUGUUGCAAUUUGUUUCUAAAAGUAUGCAAGAUACUUUGGUUUCUUUAAAAGAACAAAUAUUGGGCAUGAAUUGUCGUUGCAAAAAUUAACAAAAAAUGAUUGUGUGUGAUGAUCUCUUUUCUUGAAUCUAGUGUAGGCAAGCUUACUUGAUUUAAUUUAUGGUUAAGAUUUUGAUUCUCACAUAUCUUUGAUCAAUGACAUGUGUAGAUAGCGGAAUUCUAAUAUACAUGUGUUUUAUCCUCACGCUGUGCCACACUACCCUUAGGCUCAUCAUAUCUAUUUGUUAAGGCCUAUUUGGUGCUUCGGGAAGCAGCACCAUUUAGAUGGCUGUCUAGCGGGUCGAUCGAGUUUUCGUCGAGUUUGUGGUGAGUGUUCGUGUGAACCUUUAUUUGGUUUGUGAAAUUAUUGGUUAAGAAUGUAUUACCCAUGAAAUUGUGAACUUUAUGAUGUGAAUUGAAGUUGGAUUAUUGAGUGUUCUUGGGUUACUUGGGUAACCCAUUAAUUAUAAUUUUGUGGAAACUAUGAAGGUAGGUAUUAUAGGUGUUGUUUUCGAUUUAUGAUUUAAGAUUUGAAAUCAAUUGUUUAGGUGCUAGAUGUGGUUUUGUUUAUUGAAUUUUAUGGUUGCUGAUUUUGUGUUGGUGCCAGUUAAGUAAGUGACCUUAUUACUGGAACAGUUCUUGAGUUUGACUACUUAGAAUAAAAUGGCUAUGUGGCAUGAGUUGUUACUGAGUUAUUUGUGAUGUGACAUUAUGUGAUUGUAUUGCAAUACGAGAUUUGAUUAUGGUAUAUGAUUGAAUUUAGCUUGUGACUAGUUAAAGUUUAUAAGUGGAUUUAUUACGUGACUAAGUUAGAGUUUAUAAGUUGGUUAGUAGUUUUGAUAACUGAUUAAUUAUGUGUCUGCUUUUCAUGAUAUGAUUGAUAUGUGUGAUAUUAUGGCUUACUAGUAAUUGCUUCCUUACUUGUAACGAUGUGCCCUAUAACAAUUUGUGUUUCCUUCGGGAUUCAUCAGUUCGUGUUUUAUUCGGGAUUCACCAGAUCUUUGUUUCCUUCAAAACUCACUAGUUUUGUGUUUCCUCUCAACGCAUGGUUGACUUGACUUUUAUGUGCACAUAAUAGUUAGUUCAUGAUAGGAAUAAAGCUAAUGAUUUACUCACAUACAAACAUUUCAUACAAGCAUCAUAUCAUGAAAUACUUUAAUUUGGAAACAUUUCAACUUAGAAGUGUUCUUUUUAAAUUAUCAUGCUUUUCUUAUAAAUCAUAGACACAUAUUGUACUAUACAUAAUGUAUCAUGACAUUGAAAGAAAAGCUUUAAAAAUCUCUAUUCUUUCUCUUUGGAAGGGUCACUCACAAAAACUAAAUGUUUCCUUCUAACCCCUUGUUCUUUUCCUUGUCUGGUGCUCUUUUACUAGCAGAGUUUCAACACUUAAAACUUCUUAUUUCUUCCUAUGAACUCUUAAGGCUUAUUUAUACUAAUUCUAAAUUGGAUUAGUCAUUCUUAAACUCAUCUUAGCUUGCUAGCUCUUACUUAGUGCUUUAUACGUGUAGGUUUAAUAUCUUCUUUAAACAUGCUUAACUUUAACCCAACACGUAAAAUGCUGAUUAGUCUGAUUUAAUAAAUCAUCAUUUUCUGACCUGGCUCAAAAUGCUUACUAAACGACCCUUCUCGCAUUAUCUUAACUUAGCACGUCACCUAACUUUACUUCGCGUACUAACCUUCCUCGAGUCGUCUUGUCAGAAUGCAUGCUCAUUUCUCAAAAUGCGUCAUUCUUAUACUUGGUCACUUUAACUCUUUUCACCUUAGAGCGCAUAAUACUUAUAUUUAGAUCCUUCUUCAUAACCUCUCUAUUUCAGAGCGCGACCUUCAUAAGCCUCCAUCAUAAACUAAUGUGUAGAUUGCAAACCAUCCUUUUAAUGGUGUCAUAGAAUGAACACCUUGAAUCAAGAACCAAAUCUUGAACUUCUUUAUUACCUUCUGCUUUAAUUGAUUUUCAGAGAUGGUUAAAGUAUUUAAAUAUACAAAAGAUGCUUGAUCUACAAUGAAGCUUCUACCCUUGGUUCUUAUUGUUGUUUUUCUUUUUACUUCUUUUGAUUUUGUUUUUCUUUAGAAAAAAGCAAUCUUGUCUAAGAUGUCCACUUUUGUGGUAAAAGGUGCAUUCAAGCUUCGACUCGUUUUUCUAUUUCUUAGUUUCUUUUAUAGUUGUUUUUGCUCUUACCCUUUGAGAACAAUCCUUCAGUAUUGACUUUAUCUCUUCUUUGUGUAUUAAACUCUAGUUCUCUGGUUUUUAUCCCUGGAAUAAUAUCAUCGAUGGUGAUUUCUUGCCUUCCAAUUUCCAUAUUUGAGAGCCAUUUUGACUUCUUUAAAUGCAUUUGGAAGUGGUUUAGCAAAAUGAAUGAUUCAUUUUCAUCACCAAUCUUGUUUUCCAAGUCCUUGAAAUCGGUCGAUAACUUCUUGAACUCUCCAAGAUUUUCUAUCAAUGACUUGUUGCUAUCCAUUUUAAAGGUAAAGAACCUUUCCCUCAUGUAUACACAGUUUGGUAAGUCUUUGAACUGAUAAAGUUCAUCUAACUUCUUCCACAUUCCAUAAGUUGUUUCUUUAUCAAUGACCUUCCUUAGAACAUUGCCACGUAGGUUGAGAAUUAUAAAAACAUAAGUUGCAUUUUUCAUAGUUUCUUUCUUCUUGUGAGUCAUUUGUAACAAGUAGCUUUUUAGGAUCCAGAGAGCUUUGAAUGUCUUUUGUUGGUCAAUGAUAGCUUUGAUCUUUGCUUUCCAAAACGUAAAAUCUUCCUUACGAUCAAACUUCUCAAUAUUGUAUCUUGCUACUGCCAUCUUGAGUUUCUUGAUUGGUCAAUAAUGUGAAUCUUUAAGCUUUCUUAAGAAUUUCUGUAGGCUCUAAUACCAAUUUGUUGCUUUCCACGUGUAUGGUCAAGAGGCGACCACCAGGUAAAGAAUUAUCUUUACAUUUUAGAUUUCAUUUCAAAGAGAAAUUAGCAAAAUCAUUUUCUCUUUCAAGUUAUUUUCUCUCUUUGUUUGGCUUCUUUCUCUUUCAAUAAAAAUACUCACAUAAUUCUUUUCAAGGUUUCUCUCUUUUCUUUGGUUAUGGAAGUUUGAUGCUUAUGCACGUGUACGAAAAAUAUGAAGAACAUGAUGUUAUUAAGAGAUGAAGAAGAAUCAACAUGGGAAUUUCAAAGUGGUUUGGUAGAGAGCAACCUAUAUCCACUUGCUUGGGAGCUGUUUUAUAGAGUGUAUUUUUUAUCAGCAAAUGAAUUACAAAUGGGAAAAGGACAACAAAUAAGUUUGGUGUCUCGAAAAUGGCUUGGCGGCUCAAAACAACUUGAAUAGAGGGGAAAUUGGCUCGGCUAGAGGCAAAAAACAGCUAGACACACGCGACUGAAGGGGAGAGGGCGACUCGCGACUGAUGUUGCAUGUGUGGCUCGAGGUGGUGCUUGCGUGGGAUUUGGCUGGCAUGGGCGAUCAACUAGUGUAAGGGAUACGACUCGGGUGGCUAACGACAUGCGGCAACGGAGAAAAGACUUGACCGGUGGCAUGCAACGGUGGAAGGGUUGAGCAUCGUGCGAUGAAGUCAGGUGUUUGAACAUGACAAAACUUGCGAUGGCCCUACGAUGGCUAAUGACGGAGAAGGAGAUCUUACGCAUGACGGAAACAAACGAAGAUGGGAGACACGUGGCGGAUGGAGGAGGGAGCAAGACAGUGACGAUGGAGGCUACUAAUGUUUGUGAAGGUGCACUAGAGUUUCUUAAGAAUGAAGAUGAAUAGUGUCUCACGCUUC